ACGGUGUGAGAUUAGUCUGAUGGAGCACGCCGCGUGAGUGAAGAAGGGUUUCGGCUCGUAAAGCUCUGUUGGUAGUGAAGAAAGAUAGAGGUAGUAACUGGCCUUUAUUUGACGGUAAUUACUUAGAAAGUCACGGCUAACUACGUGCCAGCAGCCGCGGUAAUACGUAUUGGAGAGUGGCAAGCGUUGUCCGGAUUUAUUGGGCGUAAAGCGAGUGCAGGCGGUUCAAUAAGUCUGAUGUGAAAGCCUUCGGGAGACUCAACCGGAGAAUUGCAUCAGAAACUGUUGAACUUGAGUGCAGAAGAGGAGAGUGGAACUCCAUGUGUAGCGGUGGUGUGAAUGCGUACGUGUAGAUAUAUGGAAGAACACCAGUGGCGAAGGCGGCUCUCUGGUCUGCAACUGACGCUGAGGCUCGAAAGCAUGGGUAGCGAAGGGCUUUACAGGAUUAGAUACCCUGGUAGUCCAUGCCGUAAACGAUGAGUGCUAAGUGUUGGGAGGUUUCCGCCUCUCAGUGCUGCAGCUAACGCAUUAAGCACUCCGCCUGGGGAGUACGACCGCAAGGUUGAAACUCAAAGGAAUUGGACGGG
rnacentral:rRNA from 1 species